ACGUGCGCAAGCGCAGUCAGUGGGCGUCUCGAGGGCUGUCGGGGCUUCCUUGUGGCGUCUGCACCCGGGGCGUUCUCCCGCCGGUCGCUGCUCCGCCUACGUCCAGGCUCCUCCCGGCUGCCUGAGUUGCGCAAUCCGUAGCCGGGGAAGCGCUACGUGGAGACCGCGCUAAGUGGAAGCCGAGCGGCGGACCUUGAAUGUAUUCUGGACAUUCCUCAGGAACCUGAGGAGGAUACUAAAAAGACAGCCACAACUUUCCUUCUGCUUGCUGCCAAAGUUCUUGAGGCCAGCUGUUAGGAUUAUGGCAUGAGUGUUGUCUCUGCGAGGGACUAUGGAGAGUGGGAGGUUCAAGCUCAUCGGCAGGACCAUGAACAGUGACAUACGCAGCUCUUUCAAGGUUGUGAGGGCAGAGGAAUGAGAAUGUGAAAAUCCCUGAUACUGAGAAGCCCCCGAGAAGUGUUUGUGGCAGAGCCCAUCACCUUCGCCUCCCUCCACGUGGAGGAAAUCUUGCAGCCGGAAGGGGUUACCAUUGGCUGUCACUAUGGUGAUUACUGUGAUUUCCUGCCUGGAGAUAAGGGCAGCGGACUGGUAGUGGUUCAACUGCUGCUGAACAUCUGGAGGUUCUGAGUAGGAGGAGUCUGUGGACAGACGGGGAAAAUGACACCGGACACAGAGAACACAGCAGAGGUUUGACACUUGAAAGCCCCCGACAUUAGUCUGGAUUUUUUUUUUUUUUUAAGAUGAGUACUAUGAUCCAUCUUUCAUCUUCAUUUACAUCCUACAACAUGGAUCUGGGAAAGGGCAGGUGGGAAGAAAGCAUCACUUCGUUUAAUCAGACUUUGAGGGCUCAUAGCAUUUAAAACUAAAACUCUGAGGUUAAAGGUUUCAAAGUGAAGGAAGAAAAUAAACUGUUUUUUAAAAGGAAAUAGCAGUGUGGCAACAGGCUGCCAUACCAUAGCCAUCCUUGCAGGUGAGACGAAUAAAUGCACAGAAUGUAUACAGGCAUCCAGACGAGAGAGGGAAGUAGUUGAUGCAAUAUCUCCUCCGAAACCCAAAAUUAUUCAAGAAAAGAAAAAAGGUCUUUAACAGAAAUGCUCGAGCACAUGGCACUCACAAAUAUAAAAAAUGUUUUAUGCCUUCACAGUCAAAUGAUUUAAAAUUUAAAAUAUAAAAAUCUAAUAGUGUUCUUCUGGAAUGGAUGUUUAAAGCUUAGUCAGCAUUAAGAUGGAGAUUUAUUCAUAAAUCCCAUUAAAAUGAAAUUCCAAAUAAGUUUCCCUAAAAGGUAUUUUAAAGUUUGCAGUUCGGAGGAAAAUGUCGGGAAAUGACAGGCAUAAAUCUUAGCCCUGAGAAGCUUCAAUGGCAUGUGGUGGAGAAAUCUGAUCUAGAGGGGAGGUGGGAAAAUCGCCGUUUUUAAAAAAGACAGAGAGAGAGAGAGAAAGUAAAAGAAAGGUCUUGAACCUUUUCCCAACACGCUGCUUUGAGUGUUGGGGCUACACAUUCAACACCAUUGUCCCACAGAACCUACGGCCGCCUAUGAAUGGCACAAAUGAAGUCCAUGAAUACUGCACAGAUGAAUUUCAGUGUAACUUUCCUUGAAAAGACAACAAAGGGCUCUUUUUUUUAAGCCUUUCAAAAAGCAAGGGGAGGGGGAAGGCGAUAGAAACUGUACCAGUCUCCUCCUGCUUUGAUGGACACUUAAUUUUCCAAAGCCCGAUUCCCCAAGGCAGGACAUGGAGGAAUUCCGUAAAAACCCGAAUUUGAUGAAACUAGGGCCAUCCAUCCCGUCGGCCUCUUGGAGAAGAAAAACAAAAACAGAGCAGCCUCCCUUAUUGCGAGGCCACCUCCUGUCUUCAAUAUCCUCAAACAACUUCCCUUCUUGUUCUCCUCUUCCCUCUCCUCAAUUUGUAUUCCUCAAGAUUGAGAAAAACCCCUUUGGAAAUUGUAAACAAACCUGCCACACACACAAAAAUAAAACAAAAGGAAACUUGAACAAUA